UUGCUUGCAGCCGCACUUCAGCAGUUGUCUUGAAAGAUUGAGUCUCGUUAACUGCGCGUCACUCUUGUCGUUCCCGAGAAACGGUCUACCCACUUCGUUGACAUAUCUUGGAAUAGAAAAAUGCAGGAGAUUAGAAUUCCUAUCUCAUGAGAUGAUGGCCAAAUUGACAUCCCUUCAAGAUUUGAGAUUGAGGGACAGCUGUGAUUCACUGAGGUCCUUCCCGCUGGGCGUUUUCCCCAAACUUUCAUUUCUUAAUAUCGAGGGCGGUAAAAAUCUAGAAUCCCUUUCCAUUGGAGAAGGAGCUGAUGAUGAAAAUCUCACUCAUCUCGAUUCUCUCUUUAUCUAUGACUGUCCAAAUCUGGUCUCUUUUCCCCACGGGGGAUUGCACACUCCCAAACUGGCUCGAUUUACAGUCUGGGGAUGCAAGAAUUUGAAGUUAUUGCCCGACCGAUUACACACCCUCACCGCCCUUCGAGACUUAGAUAUAUACAAUCUUCCAAAUGUUGAGUCAUUUGCAGAAGGGGGUUUGCCUCCCAACCUACAAUCAUUUGGAAUCAUAGGUUGUGAGAAACUGAGGCCUUCAGUGGAGUACUGGGGUUUGCAACGACUUGUCUCCCUCCGAACAUUUCGGAUCUGGAGCAGCGAGGAUUUGUUGGACACUGUGCUCAAGGAACAGCUGCUCCCUACCACACUUCACGGUCUCGAAAUCUCUGGAGUGAAUAGGCUGAAAUCUUUGAAGGGAAAGGGACUUCAACACCUCAAUUGUCUCCAAGAGCUCGAAAUUACAAGCUGUCGUCGUCUCAAAUUCCUGCCAAAAGAGGGUUUUCCGGCAUCGCUCUCUUUUCUGAGCAUCAAAAAAUGUCCUUCUCUGAGGAAGAGGUGUCGGGAGAAGACGGGAGAAGAGUGGAGCAAGAUAGCUCACAUUCCUUGCAUCGAGAUAGAUGAUCAAGUCAUCAUUUGAGAUCUCAAAGUCAAAGUCAGAUAGCAAACUGUGCUGUAAAGUUUGAAUUACCUAAGUCCAUUGCUUCCAUCAAUUAGUUGUCUAUGAAUGGUUCCCUUGCAGUGUGACAUGUAUAUGAUUCUCCUUCAAUUGGAUAGAUCUGUUUUGGUACAUACACAGCUGAUGAAGUGAGAACGGGCGACGAUGAUCACAAAA